rnacentral:rRNA from 1 species
UACGUAGGGUGCGAGCGUUGUCCGGAAUUACUGGGCGUAAAGAGCUCGUAGGUGGUUUGUCGCGUUGUUCGUGAAAACUCACAGCUCAACUGUGGGCGUGCGGUCGAUACGGGCAUCACUGGAGUUCGGCAGGGGAGACUGGAAUUCCUGGUGUAGCGGUGAAAUGCGCAGAUAUCAGGAGGAACACCGGUGGCGAAGGCGGGUCUCUGGGCCGAUACUGACACUGAGGAGCGAAAGCGUGGGGAGCGAACAGG